rnacentral:rRNA from 1 species
GCCAGCCCGCUCAGAAACUUAAAGGAAUUGAGGGGCCCGCACAAGCGGAGGAGCAUGUGGUUUAAUUCGAUGAUACGCGAGGAACCUUACCUGGGCUCGAACGUAAGAUGACUGUAGGUGAAAGCUUACAUCUCUUCGGAGCAUUUUACGAGGUGCUGCAUGGUUGUCGUCAGCUCGUGCCGUGAGGUGUCGGGUUAAGUCCCAUAACGAGCGCAACCCCUACCUUUAGUUGCCAUCAGGUUAAGCUGGGGACUCUAAAGGAACUGCCUACGCAAGUAGUGAGGAAGGCGGGGAUGACGUCAAAUCAGCACGGCCCUUACGUCCAGGGCUACACACGUGCUACAAUGGCCGAUACAGAGGGCAGCUACCUGGUGACAGGAUGCAAAUCUCCAAAGUCGGUCUCAGUUCGGAUCGGAGUCUGCAACCCGACUCCGUGAAGUUGGAUUCGCUAGUAAUCGCGCAUCAGCCAUGGCGCGGUGAAUACGUUCCCGGGCCUU